AUUGCUGAAGAUCGGAGGGGAAGUUAACACCAGCUUUAUAGAUUUUACAACCAUUUAAUUCAAUGGUUUUCUCCCAACUGGGUCCCGGGACCCCUGGUUGUUGAUAAUGACUCAUACUAAUCUGUUCACAGGUUAAUGGACCUACACCUGCUUUAUUGAGAUAUCUUAGAAGUAGACUUUCUGAGGGUGAAGAUUCAGAAGUGAAAACUCCUGCCAAAGAGGAAGUAGUUAUUAUGGUAGCUCGAUUGUCUCUCACUUCAAAGGAACUUUCUCUGGACUGCAUGGGAUUAAGUGUUGUCCCAUCUGAAGUAUGGGAAUCAGGUGAAAUUA